UUUGCUUGCAGCACUCUGUCUCCUGGAGGGCUAUCAUCAUCUCAACCCCCUUCCCAGCAUGUUGGGAAAGACAUUGAGGGUUGCUUUGCCCCAUCCGCCUUGUGAGCAGGGCAACAUCGACCGGACAACCUUCUUCUUCUUCUCUUUAUUUGAAAACAUGAACCUCUUGGUACCCAAAAGCUCCCAUUUUCUUCUCACCAGUCUGCUGGAGCUGUUUCUCCUGACUGUCAGCUGUCAGCCUACAGAAGUCCCUUGCUGACUGAUUAUGAGACUGACUUCAUAGCAGCAGUUAAAGGAAACACACGGCUUCUUCCUCCCAGAGCCCCUUUUGACAGAAUCCUGGCACAUUAGAGCCGGUGGUUUUUUACCAGCGAUGGUGUUGGCGGCAGCAUGCUGCUAAGCGGCGUGUGAUGAUGCAUUUUGGUGGGAUCAAGCUGCCCCUUGAUUUCUGAGGGGAUUGCAGGUUCAAAACAGGUGGACUGAAGGCUUCCAAGUACCUCUGAGCAUCUUGCCUGCUUAUAACCUACAAGUCGG